CUCUUUUCUUGCAGAGAGACCUGGAGCGUUUGGCGCCUUCAGAGGAGCCAGGCGUUUGCUUGGUCUCCCCUAAUCCUGGGAACCUGCUGUGUUGCAGACGAGCCUCCUCCCGCCCGCGUGGCUGGGCCUGCUGCUGGGACCCCUCCCUGUCAGAUAGGAGCUUAUCCCACAGACCUGACCCUGCAGCUGCUGGCUGUACGGAGGAAGAGUGGACUGCGGGACCCCGGCCUACAGCAGACCCUCCGGGGCCAGCUCCGCCUGCUGGAGAAUGACAGCCGGGAGAUGGCCCGCGUGCUCGGGGUGAGUAGCCCUCUGGGGACUGCUCAGGGAUGGGAGCUGGAGUCGGGAGGAGGGAGGGGCUGAGGUGCAGUGUCUGAGACCGGGGACAGAGGAGGCAGGCCUCAGAGAGCGAGAGGAGAGUGGUGGCCUUGGAGGGGCGGCUGUGAUACCUAGCGGGUGGUGAGGGCUUGUUUCUCCCACUUGGUUUGUGGAGGACACUGUGAUCGUCCCUCUGCUCUCCCACAGCCCUAGCACAGGGGACCUUGAGCUGUCCCUUUCUCCACCCCACCCGCGAGGAAUGUCAAAGUCUCUUUGAUGGGGAGUUAAGGACAAGUGUGAAGUUAGUCUUAUUAUUUUUUUCCUGAUGACAAAGCCAGCCUCCUGCGGGCUUCUGCACAUACCAGCUUUC
rnacentral:sRNA from 1 species